rnacentral:rRNA from 1 species
UACGUAGGUGGCAAGCGUUGUCCGGAAUUAUUGGGCGUAAAGCGCGCGCAGGUGGUUCCUUAAGUCUGAUGUGAAAGCCCACGGCUCAACCGUGGAGGGUCAUUGGAAACUGGGGAACUUGAGUGCAGAAGAGGAAAGUGGAAUUCCAAGUGUAGCGGUGAAAUGCGUAGAGAUUUGGAGGAACACCAGUGGCGAAAGCGGCUUCCUGGUCCAGCACCGACGUUCAGGCACGAAAGCGUGGGGAGCAAACAGG